rnacentral:rRNA from 1 species
GAUGAACGCUGGCGGCGUGCCUAAUACAUGCAAGUCGAGCGAGCAGACGAGGAGCUUGCUCCUCUGACGUUAGCGGCGGACGGGUGAGUAACACGUGGAUAACCUACCUAUAAGACUGGGAUAACUUCGGGAAACCGGAGCUAAUACCGGAUAAUAUAUUGAACCGCAUGGUUCAAUAGUGAAAGGCGGUUUUGCUGUCACUUAUAGAUGGAUCCGCGCCGCAUUAGCUAGUUGGUAAGGUAACGGCUUACCAAGGCAACGAUGCGUAGCCGACCUGAGAGGGUGAUCGGCCACACUGGAACUGAGACACGGUCCAGACUCCUACGGGAGGCAGCAGUAGGGAAUCUUCCGCAAUGGGCGAAAGCCUGACGGAGCAACGCCGCGUGAGUGAUGAAGGUCUUCGGAUCGUAAAACUCUGUUAUUAGGGAAGAACAAAUGUGUAAGUAACUAUGCACGUCUUGACGGUACCUAAUCAGAAAGCCACGGCUAACUACGUG